UACAGAGGUCCCAAGCGUUGUUCGGAUUCACUGGGCGUAAAGGGUGCGUAGGCGGUUCGUCGCGUCGGCUGUGAAAACCCGGAGCUCAACUCCGGGCCUGCAGUCGAUACGGGCGGACUUGAGUGUUGCAGGGGAGACUGGAAUUCCUGGCGUAGCGGUGGAAUGCGCAGAUAUCAGGAGGAACACCAAUAGCGAAGGCAGCUCGCUGGGACGGUACUGACGCUAAGGCGCGAAAGCGUGGGGAGCGAACAGG
rnacentral:rRNA from 1 species